rnacentral:lncRNA from 1 species
ACAUGACAAGUCAGCAGAGACAAUCGAACAAGGAGGAAUGGAAACCAAUCAGAAGAGAGAGAGAGCUACAACUAGAAAGAAACCAAUUUUUCUCCAGGAGAUGACAUGGCCUCUCCCAAUCUCAUGACACCACAUUGGCAGAUCUUAUGGUGACUAUUCCAGAAUAUCAUAUAGUUGAUUCAGGGGAGCUCCUAUUUUCACUCAGAUAGAUCUCAUGUCUACUAGGUAGAACUAAUAAUUAUACAGUGACCAACACCAUGAACUGUCAGGUAGACCACAUCAUAACCAUUCAAAUAUACUACACUAUGACCUCUCAAAUAGACCACAUUAUGACCUCUCAGAUAGACCACAUCAUGAUCUCUCAGAUAGUCUACAUCAUGACGUCUCAGAUAGACCGCAUCAUGACCUCUCAGAUAGACCAAAUCUUGACCUCUCAGUAAGACCACACCAUGACCUCUCAGGUAAACCACACCAUGACUAGUCAGACCACUUCCUGACCGCUCAGGUAGACCACUUCCUGACCUCUCAGGUAGACCAAUUCCUGACCUCUCAGGUAGACCACGUCCUGACCUCUCAGGUAGACCAUACCAUGACUAGUCAGCUAGAUCAUUUCCUGACCUCUCAGGUGGGCAACUUCAUGACUACUCAGGUAGACCACAUCAAAACCAUGCAGGUAGGCUUCAAUAUAGCGACUCAGAUAGAUAUCAUCUUACUCAUACAGAGAGAGUUGUUCCUAACUACUCAGGGAUAGCUGAUCCUGGCCACACAGAGAGAGAUAAUCAAGCCCAAAGAGGGAGAGCUCAUGAUAACCAUACAGGGUUAGCUCAUCACAACCAUGACGGCAGAUCUCAUCAUGAACACUCAGGGAGACCUUAUCAUGGCCAUGCAAUGAGAGCUCAUAACAACCAGUCAUGGAGAGAUCUUACCCAGUCAUGGAGAGGUCGGAACAACCAGUCAUAGAGAGGUCAUGACAACCAGUCACAGAGAGGUCAUGACAACCAGUCACGUAGAGGUCAUAAUAAUCAGUCAUGGAGAGCUCAUAACAUCCGGUCACGGAGAGAUCGUUAUGACACCUCAUUGAGAUCAAGUAGCAUCCAGUCAUGGAUGCUUCAUGAAGGAGAAAGAUUCCAUGGUCCAAGAGGAAGAAAUGGACCAAGGGAUGCAUCACCACCCGGAACUGAGCCAGAAAUUGACAG